UUGGUGCAAAAGUAAUUGCGGUUUUUGCCAUACUUUUUAAUGGCAAAAACCGCAAUUACUUUUGCACCAA
rnacentral:miRNA from 1 species